rnacentral:lncRNA from 1 species
CAGGAUUUGGUUUGGAUUUCUUUAGUAUUUCUUUAGGAUUAUUUUAGGAUUCUUUAGGAUUCUUUUAAGAUUAUUUGAUGGUUCUUUUGAUUUUUUUUAGAUGUCUUUAGGAUUUCUUUGUAUUUUUUUAUAAUUUAUUUCAAAAAUAGAUAAUAAAAUAAAAUAAAAUAAUAUAAUAAUGAUUAGACUUAAUUGAUAUUUGAUUAUAUUUGUUAAGAUUUUAUAUUAAUUUACAUAAAAUUUUAUUAGAAUAGUUAGGACUUGUUAUUAGAAAUUCUUUUUAU